AGUGAACGCUGGCGGUAGGCCUAACACAUGCAAGUCGAACGGCAGCACAGUAAGAGCUUGCUCUUACGGGUGGCGAGUGGCGGACGGGUGAGGAAUACAUCGGAAUCUACUUUUUCGUGGGGGAUAACGUAGGGAAACUUACGCUAAUACCGCAUACGACCUACGGGUGUAAGCACGGGAUCUUCGGACCUUGCGCGAUUGGAUGAGCCGAUGUCGGAUUAGCUAGUUGGCGGGGUAAAGGCCCACCAAGGCGACGAUCCGUAACUGGUCUGAGAGUAAGAUCAGCUACAGUGGAAGUGAGUAACGGCCAAGACGCCUACAGUAUGAAGCAGGGCGGAAUAUUGGAGACUGGGCGAAAGGCUGUAGCAGCCCUGCGGCGUAGGUGAAGAAGGCCUCCGGCUUGUAAAGCCCUCUUGUUGUGAAAGAAAAGCAGCAGGUUGCUGCCUCGCUGUUCUGACGGUCCCGAAAGAAUAAGCACCGGCUAACUUCGU
rnacentral:rRNA from 1 species